GGGGAAAUGCCAUAGUGCAGUGGCAGAACAUCUACCUUGCAUGCAGAAGGUCCAAGGUUCAACCCCAGUUUCUCCA